GAUUAACGCUGGCGGCGUGCAUAACACAUGCAAGUCGAACGAUGCAACUUAGUAGACUUCUUCGGAAAGACACUAAGCGGCUUAGUGGCGAACGGGUGAGUAACGCGUGAGUAAUCUGCCUUACACAAGGGGAUAGCCUUUGGAAACGAAGAAUAAUACCCUAUAAAACAAUAAAAGCACAUGCUAGACUGGUCAAAGUGAUAGCGGUGUAUGAUGGACUUGCGUCUGAUUCGCUAGUUGGUGAUAUAAAAGCUCACAAAGGCAACGAUCAGUAGCCGGCAUGAGAUAUCGAACGACCGCAUUAGGACAGGGACACGGCCCAGAUACCAACGGAAGGCAGCAGAGGGGAAUUUUGCACAGUGGGGGAAACCCGGAUGCAGCGAGGCCGCGUGAUUUGUAAGUCCUUCGGGUUGUAAAGAUCUUUUAUAUAGGAAGAAAAUGACGGUACUAUACGAAUAAGGUCCGGCUAAAUACGUG
rnacentral:rRNA from 1 species